rnacentral:sRNA from 1 species
UCGGCAGCCUUAGUAGGGGCCGAUAGGCCGGAGACGCAGGUUUUCGGUGGCGUCUCCAAUCCAUGUUGCUUUACGGAGGAUAUGGUAAUGAGAA